rnacentral:rRNA from 1 species
UGGAGAGUUUGAUCCUGGCUCAGAACGAACGCUGGCGGCAGGCUUAACACAUGCAAGUCGAACGCCCCGCAAGGGGAGUGGCAGACGGGUGAGUAACGCGUGGGAACAUACCCUUUCCUGCGGAAUAGCUCCGGGAAACUGGAAUUAAUACCGCAUACGCCCUACGGGGGAAAGAUUUAUCGGGGAAGGAUUGGCCCGCGUUGGAUUAGCUAGUUGGUGGGGUAAAGGCCUACCAAGGCGACGAUCCAUAGCUGGUCUGAGAGGAUGAUCAGCCACAUUGGGACUGAGACACGGCCCAAACUCCUACGGGAGGCAGCAGUGGGGAAUAUUGGACAAUGGGCGCAAGCCUGAUCCAGCCAUGCCGCGUGAGUGAUGAAGGCCUUAGGGUUGUAAAGCUCUUUCACCGAUGAAGAUAAUGACGGUAGUCGGAGAAGAAGCCCCGGCUAACUUCGUGCCAGCAGCCGCGGUA